AGCUAAUAGAUACCCUGGUAGUCCUGGCAGUAAACGGUGCGCGUUUGGUGUGGGAGGAUUCGACCCCUUCUGUGCCGGAGCUAAACGCGUUAAACGCGCCGCCUGGGGAGUACGGUCGCAAGAUUAAAACUCAAAGAAAUUGACGGGGGUCCCGCACAAGCGGUGGAGUAUGUGGCUUAAUUCGAUGCAACGCGAAGAACCUUACCUAGCCUUGACAUGCAUCUCUAAGUCGGUGAAAGCCGGCGACCAUAGCAAUAUGGAAUUUGCACAGGUGCUGCAUGGCUGUCGUCAGCUCGUGUCGUGAGAUGUUGGG
rnacentral:rRNA from 1 species